GAUGAACGCUGGCGGCGUGCCUAAUACAUGCAAGUCGAGCGAAUGGAUUAAGAGCUUGCUCUUAUGAAGUUAGCGGCGGACGGGUGAGUAACACGUGGGUAACCUGCCCAUAAGACUGGGAUAACUCCGGGAAACCGGGGCUAAUACCGGAUAACAUUUUGAACCGCACGGUUCGAAAUUGAAAGGCGGCUUCGGCUGUCACUUAUGGAUGGACCCGCGUCGCAUUAGCUAGUUGGUGAGGUAACGGCUCACCAAGGCAACGAUGCGUAGCCGACCUGAGAGGGUGAUCGGCCACACUGGGACGGAGACACGGCCCAGACUCCUACGGGAGGCAGCAGUAGGGAAUCUUCCGCAAUGGACGAAAGUCUGACGGAGCAACGCCGCGUGAGUGAUGAAGGCUUUCGGGUCGUAAAACUCUGUUGUUAGGGAAGAACAAGUGCUAGUUGAAUAAGCUGGCACCUUGACGAUACCUAACCAGAAAGCCACGGCUAACUACGUGCCAGCCGCCGCGGUAA
rnacentral:rRNA from 1 species